AGUUAAGUGACUAAGCGCACAAGGUGGAUGCCUUGGCAAUCAGAGGCGAAGAAGGACGUGCCAAUCUGCGAAAAGCUUGGAUGAGUCGAUAAGAGGCGUUUAAUCCAAGAUGUCCGAAUGGGGAAACCCAGUAGGUGAAGAACCUACUAUCACCCAGUGAAUACAUAGCUGUGUGAGGCAAACCGGGAGAACUGAAACAUCUAAGUACCCCGAGGAAAAGAAAUCAACCGAGAUUUCGUUAGUAGCGGCGAGCGAACGCGAAAGAGCCAGUUAGUGAUAGCAGUAAAGUUAGGGGAAUGUUCUGGGAAGGACAAUCGUAGAGGGUGAUAAUCCCGUACCUUAAAACUCCAUUGUGGUACUAGGCUAACAACAAGUAGGGCGGGACACGUGAUAUCCUGUUUGAAGAUGGGGGGACCAUCCUCCAAGGCUAAAUACUCCUGAUUGACCGAUAGUGAACCAGUACUGUGAAGGAAAGGUGAAAAGAACCCCGGCGAGGGGAGUGAAAUAGAACCUGAAACCUUGUGCGUACAAGCAGUGGGAGCAAGAGUAAUCUUGUGACUGCGUACCUUUUGUAUAAUGGGUCAGCGACUUAUAUUUUGUAGCAAGGUUAACUGAAUAAGGGAGCCGUAGGGAAACCGAGUCUUAACUGGGCGUGUAGUUGCAAGGUAUAGACCCGAAACCCGGUGAUCUAGCCAUGGGCAGGUUGAAGGUUGGGUAACACUAACUGGAGGACCGAACCGACUAAUGUUGAAAAAUUAGCGGAUGACUUGUGGCUGGGGGUGAAAGGCCAAUCAAACCGGGAGAUAGCUGGUUCUCCCCGAAAUCUAUUUAGGUAGAGCCUUGAGCGGACACCUUCGGGGGUAGAGCACUGUUUCGGCUAGGGGUCCAUCCCGGAUUACCAACCCGAUGCAAACUGCGAAUACCGAAGAGUGAUACUCAGGAGACACACGGUGGGUGCUAACGUCCAUCGUGGAGAGGGAAACAACCCAGACCGCCAGCUAAGGUCCCAAAGUCUAUAUUAAGUGGGAAACGAAGUGGGAAGGCUUAGACAGCUAGGAUGUUGGCUUAGAAGCAGCCACCAUUUAAAGAAAGCGUAAUAGCUCACUAGUCGAGUCGGCCUGCGCGGAAGAUGUAACGGGGCUCAAAUAUAGCACCGAAGCUGCGGCAUCAGACGAAAGUCUGUUGGGUAGGGGAGCGUUGUGUAAGUCGAUGAAGGUGGAUUGAGAAGUCUGCUGGAGAUAUCACAAGUGCGAAUGCUGACAUAAGUAACGAUAAAACGAGUGAAAAACUCGUUCGCCGGAAGACCAAGGGUUCCUGUCCAACGUUAAUCGGGGCAGGGUGAGUCGGCCCCUAAGGCGAGGCUGAAAAGCGUAGUCGAUGGGAAACGGGUUAAUAUUCCCGUACUUGUAAUAACUGCGAUGUGGGGACGGAGAAGGUUAGGUUAGCAGACUGUUGGAUGUCUGUUUAAGCCGGUAGGUGGGAAGAUUAGGCAAAUCCGGUCUUCCUUAACACCGAGAAGUGAUGACGAGUCUCUACGGAGAUGAAGUAAUCGAUACCACGCUUCCAGGAAAAGCCACUAAGCUUCAGGUUAUUAUAAACCGUACUAUAAACCGACACAGGUGGUCAGGUAGAGAAUACUCAGGCGCUUGAGAGAACUCGGGUGAAGGAACUAGGCAAAAUAGCACCGUAACUUCGGGAGAAGGUGCGCCGGCGUAGAUUGUAGUCCCUUGCGGAUGAAGGUUGAACCGGUCGAAGAUACCAGCUGGCUGCAACUGUUUAUUAA
rnacentral:rRNA from 1 species